AGCAGCCGCGGCAAUUCCAGCUCCAAUAGCGUAUAUUAAAGUUGUUGCAGUUAAAAAGCUCGUAGUUGAAUUUCGGGAUCAGUACGCUGGUCGUGCCUUUGGUAUGUACUGGUGUCACUGAUUCCUCCCUUCUGAAGAACCGUUAUGCCAUUUAUUUGGUGUGGCGGGGAAUCAGGACUGUUACUUUGAAAAAUUAGAGUGUUUAAAGCAGGCUCACGCUUGAAUACAUUAGCAUGGAAUAAUGAAAUAGGACGUUUGAUUCUAUUUUGUUGGUUUCUAGGAUCGACGUAAUGAUUAAUAGGGAUAGUUGGGGGCAUUAGUAUUCAAUUGUCAGAGGUGAAAUUCUUGGAUUUAUUGAAGACUAACUACUGCGAAAGCAUUUGCCAAGGAUGUUUUCAUUAAUCAAGAACGAAAGUUAGGGGAUCG
rnacentral:rRNA from 1 species